rnacentral:rRNA from 1 species
GGUGUGACUGCGUACCUUUUGUAUAAUGGGUCAGCGACUUAUAUUCUGUAGCAAGGUUAACCGUAUAGGGGAGCCGCAGGGAAACCGAGUCUUAACUGGGCGUUAAGUUGCAGGGUAUAGACCCGAAACCCGGUGAUCUAGCCAUGGGCAGGUUGAAGGUUGGGUAACACUAACUGGAGGACCGAACCGACUAAUGUUGAAAAAUUAGCGGAUGACUUGUGGCUGGGGGUGAAAGGCCAAUCAAACCGGGAGAUAGCUGGUUCUCCCCGAAAGCUAUUUAGGUAGCGCCUCGUGAAUUCAUCUUCGGGGGUAGAGCACUGUUUCGGCUAGGGGGUCAUCCCGACUUACCAACCCGAUGCAAACUACGAAUACCGAAGAAUGUUAUCACGGGAGACACACGGCGGGUGCUAACGUCCGUCGUGAAGAGGGAAACAACCCAGACCGCCAGCUAAGGUCCCAAAGUCACAGUUAAGUGGGAAACGAUGUGGGAAGGCACAGACAGCCAGGAUGUUGGCUUAGAAGCAGCCAUCAUUUAAAGAAAGCGUAAUAGCUCACUGGUCGAGUCGGCCUGCGCGGAAGAUGUAACGGGGCUAAACUGUGCACCGAAGCUGCGGCAGCGACACUAUGUGUUGUUGGGUAGGGGAGCGUUCUGUAAGCCUGCGAAGGUGGCCUGUGAGGGUUGCUGGAGGUAUCAGAAGUGCGAAUGCUGACAUAAGUAACGAUAAUGCGGGUGAAAAGCCCGCACGCCGGAAGACCAAGGGUUCCUGUCCAACGUUAAUCGGGGCAGGGUGAGUCGACCCCUAAGGCGAGGCCGAAAGGCGUAGUCGAUGGGAAACAGGUUAAUAUUCCUGUACUUGGUGUUACUGCGAAGGGGGGACGGAGAAGGCUAUGUUAGCCGGGCGACGGUUGUCCCGGUUUAAGCAUGUAGGCGGAGGUUCCAGGUAAAUCCGGUACCUUUUAACGCUGAGGUGUGAUGACGAGGCACUACGGUGCUGAAGUAACAAAUGCCCUGCUUCCAGGAAAAGCCUCUAAGCAUCAGGUAACAUUGAAUCGUACCCCAAACCGACACAGGUGGUCAGGUAGAGAAUACCAAGGCGCUUGAGAGAACUCGGGUGAAGGAACUAGGCAAAAUGGUGCCGUAACUUCGGGAGAAGGCACGCUGAUAUGUAGGUGAAGCCCCUGCGGGUGGAGCUGAAAUCAGUCGAAGAUACCAGCUGGCUGCAACUGUUUAUUAAAAACACAGCACUGUGCAAACACGAAAGUGGACGUAUACGGUGUGACGCCUGCCCGGUGCCGGAAGGUUAAUUGAUGGGGUUAUCCGUAAGGAGAAGCUCUUGAUCGAAGCCCCGGUAAACGGCGGCCGUAACUAUAACGGUCCUAAGGUAGCGAAAUUCCUUGUCGGGUAAGUUCCGACCUGCACGAAUGGCGUAAUGAUGGCCAGGCUGUCUCCACCCGAGACUCAGUGAAAUUGAACUCGCUGUGAAGAUGCAGUGUACCCGCGGCAAGACGGAAAGACCCCGUGAACCUUUACUAUAGCUUGACACUGAACAUUGAGCCUUGAUGUGUAGGAUAGGUGGGAGGCUUUGAAGCGUGGACGCCAGUCUGCGUGGAGCCAACCUUGAAAUACCACCCUUUAAUGUUUGAUGUUCUAACGUUGGCCCCUGACCGGGGUUGCGGACAGUGUCUGGUGGGUAGUUUGACUGGGGCGGUCUCCUCCCAAAGAGUAACGGAGGAGCACGAAGGUUAGCUAAUCCUGGUCGGACAUCAGGAGGUUAGUGCAAUGGCAUAAGCUAGCUUGACUGCGAGCGUGACGGCGCGAGCAGGUGCGAAAGCAGGUCAUAGUGAUCCGGUGGUUCUGAAUGGAAGGGCCAUCGCUCAACGGAUAAAAGGUACUCCGGGGAUAACAGGCUGAUACCGCCCAAGAGUUCAUAUCGACGGCGGUGUUUGGCACCUCGAUGUCGGCUCAUCACAUCCUGGGGCUGAAGUAGGUCCCAAGGGUAUGGCUGUUCGCCAUUUAAAGUGGUACGCGAGCUGGGUUUAGAACGUCGUGAGACAGUUCGGUCCCUAUCUGCCGUGGGCGCUGGAGAAUUGAGGGGGGCUGCUCCUAGUACGAGAGGACCGGAGUGGACGCAUCACUGGUGUUCGGGUUGUCAUGCCAAUGGCAUUGCCCGGUAGCUAAAUGCGGAAGAGAUAAGUGCUGAAAGCAUCUAAGCACGAAACUUGCCCCGAGAUGAGUUCUCCCUGAGACUUUAAGUCUCCUGAAGGAACGUUAAAGACGAUGACGUUGAUAGGUCGGGUGUGUAAGCGUAGCGAUACGUUGAGCUAACCGAUACUAAUGAACCGUGAGGCUUAACCUUACAACGCCGAAG